GAUGAAGAACGUAGCGAAAUGCGAUAAGUAAUGUGAAUUGCAGAAUUCAGUGAAUCAUCGAAUCUUUGAACGCACAUUGCGCCCGCCAGCAUUCUGGCGGGCAUGCCUGUUCGAGCGUCAUUUCAACCCUCGAGCCCCCCCGGGGGCCUCGGUGUUGGGGGACGGCACACCAGCCGCCCCCGAAAUGCAGUGGCGACCCCGCCGCAGCCUCCCCUGCGUAGUAGCACACUCCUCGCACCGGAGCGCGGAGGCGGUCACGCCGUAAAACGCCCAACUUUCUUAGAGUUGACCUCGGAUCAGGUAGGAAUACCCGCUGAACUUAAGCAUAUCAAUAAGCGGAGGA
rnacentral:misc_RNA from 1 species